GUAGGUUUCCAAUUUCCUAAAAGAAUUGGUGGUGCGGAUGGGGAAUUUUUCUCCGCCUGUUUCCUAGUUCAGUCAAAACUAGGUGGCGAGCCUAGCA
rnacentral:ncRNA from 1 species